CAGCCAGUGCCCUACACAAUACAAGAUGCCAGUGUAGGGACAGGGAUGACCUCUAGCAAGGUGGCCCCUCAGCGGGCCAGACAGGGCUUCUGAAGAGAAUUUCUCUAGCUUUUUGGUGUUUCCUGCCUGCUACUUUCAAACAAAGAUCCCGGUUUUAAUGUUCUCCCAGUAAUAUUUUAUGAAUGUCACUGCGAAUCAGAGGGCUAAAUCAACACCAGAGGCCCCGUGAUCGAUCUAUAUGAUCAGGAUGUCACAUCCUGGUGUUCUUGCCCCAAGUCUUGAUGUGAAUCUGACCACAAGGACAAUUCAGACAACCCGGAAUGGUCAGACAUUCUACAAAUAAACAUUAAUGUCAUGAAAGACUCAGGAAGUUUUCCAUUUAAUGGAGACUAAAGAGAUACAACAACUGACUGGCAGACAUGAUCUUGGAUUUUCUUUUGGCUCAAACAGUGUUAGGACAAUUGAAGAAAUCUGAAUGAGGUCUGUAGCUAAUAGAAUUGUGUCAAUGC